CGAAGCGUUUUGCAUCGUUGGGUUUGUCGGAUUGACGAACACAAAUGUGCCUAAAUUCAACACUGAAAAAAUUGAAAAAAUAAAAUAACAGAAAAUUUGAAUUAAAAAAAAAACUAGUACCAGAUCGUACCACCACCCCGGUCAUAGGAACCUACACGGGGCUGUAACCACCACUUGGGGAGAAGAUGGGGACAGUGUGGUGGUGGGAGGGGAGAGUGGAAGUCGGGCAUUCACUCAUUGGCCGCCGUCACCGACAACGAGACGCUUGAAUCAGUUUUAACAGGGCCGCAGAUUUGAGAACAACGGUUGCAGGGUCUUUCCUCGUCAUUGUCGAGAUGUGUCGUUGCCUUCGUCGCCGCCUUCAUCGUCGCCUCCAUCGCCAUGAAUUUCC
rnacentral:lncRNA from 1 species